rnacentral:rRNA from 1 species
CGGCUGCUAAUACCGCAUAAGCGCACGAGGAGACAUCUCCUUGUGUGAAAAACUCCGGUGGUACAGGAUGGGCCCGCGUCUGAUUAGCUGGUUGGCAGGGUAACGGCCUACCAAGGCAACGAUCAGUAGCCGGUCUGAGAGGAUGAACGGCCACAUUGGAACUGAGACACGGUCCAAACUCCUACGGGAGGCAGCAGUGGGGAAUAUUGCACAAUGGGGGAAACCCUGAUGCAGCAACGCCGCGUGAGUGAAGAAGUAUUUCGGUAUGUAAAGCUCUAUCAGCAGGGAAGAUAAUGACGGUACCUGACUAAGAAGCUCCGGCUAAAUACGUGCCAGCAGCCGCGGUAAUACGUAUGGAGCAAGCGUUAUCCGGAUUUACUGGGUGUAAAGGGUGCGUAGGUGGCAGUGCAAGUCAGAUGUGAAAGGCCGGGGCUCAACCCCGGAGCUGCAUUUGAAACUGCAUAGCUAGAGUACAGGAGAGGCAGGCGGAAUUCCUAGUGUAGCGGUGAAAUGCGUAGAUAUUAGGAGGAACACCAGUGGCGAAGGCGGCCUGCUAGACUGUUACUGACACUGAGGCACG